AGAAUCAACGCUGGCGGCGUGCCUAACACAUGCAAGUCGAACGAGAAAGGGUAGCAAUACCUGAGUACAGUGGCGCACGGGUGAGUAACACGUGACUAACCUACCCUGGAGUGGGGAAUAACUGAGGGAAACCUUAGCUAAUACCGCAUAAUACCUACGGGUCGAAGGAGCAAUUCGCUUCAGGAGGGGGUCGCGGCCGAUUAGUUAGUUGGCGGGGUAAUGGCCCACCAAGACAGUGAUCGGUAU
rnacentral:rRNA from 1 species